rfam:Dictyocaulus viviparus strain HannoverDv2000 D_viviparus-1.0_Cont1.54, whole genome shotgun sequence.
GCCUCCGUAGUGUAAUGGAUCAGCACGGUAGAACGGAUAUCUGUAAGUGCGGGUUCGAGUCCCGCCUGAGGUU